GAUGAACGCUGGCGGCGUGCCUAAUACAUGCAAGUCGAGCGAACGGACGAGAAGCUUGCUUCUCUGAUGUUAGCGGCGGACGGGUGAGUAACACGUGGAUAACCUACCUAUAAGACUGGGAUAACUUCGGGAAACCGUAGCUAAUACCGGAUAAUAUUUUGAACCGCAUGGUUCAAAAGUGAAAGACGGUCUUGCUGUCACUUAUAGAUGGAUCCGCGCUGCAUUAGCUAGUUGGUAAGGUAACGGCUUACCAAGGCAACGAUGCAUAGCCGACCUGAGAGGGUGAUCGGCCACACUGGAACUGAGACACGGUCCAGACUCCUACGGGAGGAAGCAGUAGGGAAUCUUCCGCAAUGGGCGAAAGCCUGACGGAGCAACGCCGCGUGAGUGAUGAAGGUCUUCGGAUCGUAAAACUCUGUUAUUAGGGAAGAACAUAUGUGUAAGUAACUGUGCACAUCUUGACGGUACCUAAUCAGAAAGCCACGGCUAACUACGUG
rnacentral:rRNA from 1 species